CGAUUUGCUUCCUUGUUUCUUUGUUUUUCUUUUCUGCCGAUUUUCUCCCAGUUUAUUUUCUUUUCUUUUCUGCCGAUUUGCUCCCCCCGUUUCUUUUCUUUUCUUUUUCGGCCGAUUUGCUCAGUUUCUGCCGAUUUGCGUCAUCGGUUAGUUUUCCUAACCUGAUAGAAUAAUAUCCUUUUCUAUUGUAGAUGAAAACAAUAUACUUUCGAGGUAAACCUUUUCUAUUGUUUUUAUCUAAUUGGUUUCCCCUUUUCUCAUUACAGGUUCUUCUUCAUCGCACUCUACCCUGACCUGCUCAUUACAGGUUUACAUGACAUCACAAGUUAGCCCGAUAAUUUUAUUUCCUUUUCUAUUGUUUUUAUCUAAUCGGUUUCCCC
rnacentral:lncRNA from 1 species